UAACGGCCUACCAACGCGACGACGGGUAGCCGGCCUGAGAGGGCGACCGGCCACACUGGGACUGAGACACGGCCCAGACUCCUACGGGAGGCAGCAGUGGGGAAUAAUGCGCAAUGGGCGAAAGCCUGACGCAGCGACGCCGCGUGAGGGAUGACGGCCGCCGGGUUGUAAACCUCUUUCAGCUCUGACGAAGCGCAAGUGACGGUAGGAGCAGAAGAAGCACCGGCCAACUACGUGCCAGCAGCCGCGGUAAUACGUAGGGUGCAAGCGUUGUCCGGAAUUAUUGGGCGUAAAGAGCUGGUAGGCGGUCUGUCGCGUCGAAUGUGAAAAUAAGAGGAUCAACCUCGGACCUGCAUUCGAUACGGGCAGACUAGAGUUCGGUAGGGGAGUCUGGAAUUCCUGGUGUAGCGGUGAAAUG
rnacentral:rRNA from 1 species